rnacentral:ncRNA from 2 species
UACAUAGGGUGCAAGCGUUGUCCGGAAUUAUUGGGCGUAAAGAGCUCGUAGGUGGUUCGUUACGUCGGAUGUGAAAACCUGAGGCUCAACCUCAGGCCUGCAUUCGAUACGGGCGAACUGGAGUGUGGUAGGGGAGACUGGAAUUCCUGGUGUAGCGGUGGAAUGCGCAGAUAUCAGGAGGAACACCAAUGGCGAAGGCAGGUCUCUGGGCCACUACUGACACUGAGGAGCGAAAGCGUGGGGAGCAAACAGG